rnacentral:rRNA from 1 species
AGCGAGUUACCCUGUAACGACCUACCCUGUAGCGCCUGCCGAUGGACCAUUAAACUCUUGUUAUUUUUAAGUAAUCUGAGCGUCUUAUUUUAAUAAGUCAAAACUUUCAACAACGGAUCUCUUGGUUCUGGCAUCGAUGAAGAACGCAGCGAAAUGCGAUAAGUAAUGUGAAUUGCAGAAUUCAGUGAAUCAUCGAAUCUUUGAACGCACAUUGCGCCCAUUAGUAUUCUAGUGGGCAUGCCUGUUCGAGCGUCAUUUC